CGGUGGAGCAUGUGGUUUAAUUCGAAGCAACGCGAAGAACUUACCAGGCCUUGACAUGCAGAGAACUUUCCAGAGAUGGAUUGGUGCCUUCGGGAACUCUGACACAGGUGCUGCAUGGCUGUCGUCAGCUCGCGUCGUGAGAUGUUGGGUUAAGUCCCGUAACGAGCGCAACCCUUGUCCUUAGUUACCAGCACGUUAUGGUGGGCACUCUAAGGAGACUGCCGGUGACAAACCGGAGGAAGGUGGGGAUGACGUCAAGUCAUCAUGGCCCUUACGGCCUGGGCUACACACGUGCUACAAUGGUCGGUACAAAGGGUUGCCAAGCCGCGAGGUGGAGCUAAUCCCAUAAAACCGAUCGUAGUCCGGAUCGCAGUCUGCAACUCGACUGCGUGAAGUCGGAAUCGCUAGUAAUCGUGAAUCAGAAUGUCACGGUGAAUACGUUCCCGGGCCUU
rnacentral:rRNA from 1 species